rnacentral:rRNA from 1 species
AUUGAACGCUGGCGGCAUGCUUUACACAUGCAAGUCGAACGGCAGCGCGGGCUUCGGCCUGGCGGCGAGUGGCGAACGGGGGAGUCCUGCACCGGAAUGUGCACUGUCGUGCGGGAAAGGCCGGCAAAAGCCGGAUUAAUACCCCGUACGACCUGUGGGCGCCAGUGGGGGAGCGAGCGGCCUCUCGCCAUUGUAGUAGCCGAUGUCGUAUUCGCUAGUUGGUGGGGUAACGGCUUACCAAGGCGACGAUCCGUAGCUGGUCUGAGAGGACGACCCGCCACACUGGGAUGGAGACACGGCCCAGACCCCUGCGGGAGGCAGCAGUGGCGAAUUUUGGACAAUGGGGGCAACGCUGAUCCAGCCAUGCCGCGUGCGGGAAGAAGGCCGUCGGGUUGUAAACCGCUUUUGUUCGGGAAGAAAGCCUCGGGGCUAAUACCCCGGGGAGAUGACGGUACCGGAAGAAUAAGCACCGGCUAACUACGUG